ensembl:rRNA 5S_rRNA 5S ribosomal RNA
GUCUACGGCCAUGCUACCCUGAACAAACUGAUCCUGUCUGAUCUCGAAAGCUAAGCAGGAUUGGGCCUGGUUAGUACUUGGGAAGGAGACCACCUAGGAAGACCAGGUGCUGUCGGUG